AACGAACGCUGGCGGCAGGCUUAACACAUGCAAGUCGAGCGCCCCGCAAGGGGAGCGGCAGACGGGUGAGUAACGCGUGGGAAUCUACCCUUUCCUACGGAAUAGCUCCGGGAAACUGGAAUUAAUACCGUAUACGCCCUUAGGGGGAAAGAUUUAUCGGGGAAGGAUGAGCCCGCGUUGGAUUAGCUAGUUGGUGGGGUAAAGGCCUACCAAGGCGACGAUCCAUAGCUGGUCUGAGAGGAUGAUCAGCCACAUUGGGACUGAGACACGGCCCAAACUCCUACGGGAGGCAGCAGUGGGGAAUAUUGGACAAUAGGCGCAAGCCUGAUCCAGCCAUGCCGCGUGAGUGAUGAAGGCCUUAGGGUUGUAAAGCUCUUUUACCAGGGAUGAUAAUGACAGUACCUGGAGAAUAAGCUCCGGCUAACUCCGUGCCAGCAGCCGCCGUAA
rnacentral:rRNA from 1 species